rnacentral:rRNA from 1 species
AGAACGAACGCUGGCGGCAUGCCUAAUACAUGCAAGUCGAACGAACUCUUCGGAGUUAGUGGCGCACGGGUGCGUAACGCGUGGGAAUCUGCCCCUUGGUUCGGAAUAACAGUUGGAAACGACUGCUAAUACCGGAUGAUGACGAAAGUCCAAAGAUUUAUCGCCAAGGGAUGAGCCCGCGUAGGAUUAGCUAGUUGGUGAGGUAAAGGCUCACCAAGGCAACGAUCCUUAGCUGGUCUGAGAGGAUGAUCAGCCACACUGGGACUGAGACACGGCCCAGACUCCUACGGGAGGCAGCAGUAGGGAAUAUUGGACAAUGGGCGAAAGCCUGAUCCAGCAAUGCCGCGUGAGUGAUGAAGGCCUUAGGUUGUAAAGCUCUUUUACCCGAGAUGAUAAUGACAGUAUCGGAGAAUAAGCCCGGCUAACUCCGCGCCAGCACGCCGC